GAAGCUUCCUAAACCUCCAUAGAAGCUGAGCAGAUGCCAGUACAAUGCUUUCUGUAUAGCCUGCAGAACCAUGAGCCAUUUAAAUCUCUUUUCUUUAUAAGUUACCCAGUCUCAUGUAUUUCUUUAUAGCAAAGGAAGAACAGGCUAACACAGUUCCCAACAGGAGGAUCAAGUGCCAAGGCCCUGGUGACUUUGAGGAAGAGAAAGAGGCCAGUGCGAUUGGAGAGCAGUGAGGAUGCUGUGAUAGUAAAUGGAUUUAUACAUGGAACGUGCUUGAAAUAAUGCCUGACAGUUUGUAA
rnacentral:lncRNA from 10 species